GACGAACGCUGGCGGCGUGCCUAAUACAUGCAAGUCGAACGGUCUUUUCUAUGGAAGCUUGCUUCCACUGAUUAGAUAGUGGCGGACGGGUGAGUAACACGUGGGUAACCUGCCCAUAAGAGGGGGAUAACAUCCGGAAACGGGUGCUAAUACCGCAUAGUUUUUCUGAUCGCAUGAUCGGGAAAGGAAAGACGGCCUUUGUGCUGUCGCUUAUGGAUGGACCCGCGGCGUAUUAGUUAGUUGGUGAGGUAAUGGCUCACCAAGACGAUGAUACGUAGCCGACCUGAGAGGGUGAUCGGCCACAUUGGGACUGAGACACGGCCCAAACUCCUACGGGAGGCAGCAGUAGGGAAUCUUCCGCAAUGGACGAAAGUCUGACGGAGCAACGCCGCGUGAGUGAAGAAGGUUUUCGGAUCGUAAAACUCUGUU
rnacentral:rRNA from 1 species